CCGCUAUUUACAUCUACAGAAGUUAUAUAUUCAUCCCACUCUUUAUCUAUCCCUAUUAAAAUUCUAAAAAAAAAAAAUUUUAAAUACUAUUCUCAUCCAAGUCAUAUUUCAACAUUAUCCUUAUUAAAUUCAUUCAUUUAAAUACUAUACAUCCACACCAUUUUAACUCAGACUUCAUAAUCAAAACACAAUAACAUAAAAGUUAAAACUAAGAAAUGCGAUUAAAGCCACUCAAUUCACAUAGCAACAUAGAAUUGUUAAGCAAUCUUAUGAAAUUCAACAGACCCAUUAUUCUGCCCAGAAAUCCGCCAAGAUCUUUCUUGAGUAUAAAUGCUGAGAACAACCUUACAGAUAUGAGCAAAAAAACCCAGAAAAGAAGUCUAGAAAUUAUCGCUCUAAAUUACAGAAUAAAAGGAAAUGGAGUCACCUUUUGUGGAGAUUUAUUGGUUCUCGAUUUUACCGCAGAUUCUCUUUCUUUCUCUCUGAAGUCUUCACUCUCAAAUGAGCAGCAAAAAUAUCCAGGUAGAAAAAUGAAGUUAACACCGACAAUAAAGAUAACAUUUUUAUAUUUGGAAGCUGGUGGCAAAAAUGGCGUCGGACUUGAACUUUAUCUGCUAAAAUAUGCAUGCAGUUGAAAUCUACUACUACUAGCAUGCGUUAACGGUAAAUAAAUGCUUCUUUGCCUAUUACUAAAGAAUAAAGACGAUCUCAUUUCUCAAACUUCUUCCUUUGCUUGUAACUUAAGCUUUAAAUUUUCAAAACUUAAAAUUGAUUUUAAUUUUCAGUUUUCCUUCAUUUUAAUAUUUAGGUUUAAUAGAAAAUUAGAAGUCAU
rnacentral:lncRNA from 1 species